rnacentral:tRNA from 1 species
GGGGAUUUAGCUCAGUGGUGUAAGCGCCUGCCUUGCAAGCAGGCAGUUGUGAGUUAGAUCCCCA